CCUACGGGUGGCUGCAGUGGGGAAUAUUGCACAAUGGGGGAAACCCUGAUGCAGCGAUGCCGCGUGCGCGAUGAAGUAUUUCGGUAUGUAAAGCCCUAUCAGCAGGGAAGAAAAUGACGGUACCUGACUAAGAAGCCCCGGCUAACUACGUGCCGGCAGCCGCGGUAAUACGUAGGGGGCAAGCGUUAUCCGGAUGUACUGGGUGUAAAGGGAGCGUAGACGGCGGGGCAAGCCAGAUGUGAAAGGCUGGGGCUCAACCCCGGGACUGGAUGUGGAACUGUGCUGCUAGAGUGUCGGAGUGGCAGGCGGAAUUCCUAGUGUAGCGGUGAAAGGCGUAGAUAUUAGGAGGAACACCAGUGGCGAAGGCGGCCUGCUGGACGAUGACUGACGUUGAGGCUCGAAAGCGUGGGGAGCAAACAGGAUUAGAUACCCGAGUAGUC
rnacentral:rRNA from 1 species